rnacentral:rRNA from 1 species
AAACGAUUGAAGUCAGUCGUACCGAUGGGCAUUCAGCUCUUCGAGUGCGAUUGUGCGGGCGUUGAGGAGUUAAAACCCCUCGCGUUUUGCAUAUUUGUGCUCUUCGGGUGUACUUGCUCGUAUGGUAGGUUAACAUCAAUUCAGGUCGUCAUAAAAUGACGGGAGGAAUGUAGCUUCGAUCUCGUAUUGAAGUGUUAUAGCCUCUGGUAGAUGUGAUGAUCGGGAUUGAGGAUUGCAACGAACCCCUCGGGGCCAUCCGCCUGGCCUCUGGUGGUUGCUUUGGUGUCGAAAGCUUGCUUACGGUCAUCGAAGUUGGCUGCCAAAAGGUUAGAACGGGUUAAAUUCGUUAAGGAUGUUGACGUAAUGGCUUUAAACGA